rnacentral:ncRNA from 1 species
GGCCCCUUCGGGGGCUUACCAAAGGCGGUAGUCCGCCGACAUAGCAAACGGAGACAGAAA